GACGAACGCUGGCGGCGUGCUUAACACAUGCAAGUCGAACGGAAAGGCCCUGCUUUUGUGGGGUGCUUGAGUGGCGAACGGGUGAGUAACACGUGAGUAUCCUGCCCUUGACUUUGGGAUAACUUCAGGAAACUGGGGCUCAUACCGGAUAGGAGCUCCUGCUGCAUGGUGGGGGUUGGAAAGUUUCGGCGGUUGGGGAUGGACUCGCGGCUUAUCCGCUUGUUGGUGGGGUAGUGGCUUACCAAGGCUUUGACGGGUAGCCGGCCUGAGAGGGUGACCGGCGACAUUGGGACUGAGAGAGGGCCCAGACUCCUACGGGAGGCAGCAGUGGGGAAUAUUGCGCAAUGAGGGGGAGCCUGAUGCGGCAACGCCGCGUGCGGGAUGACGGCCUUCGGGUUAUAAACCGCUUUGGCCUGUGACGAAGCGUGAGUGACGGUAAUUGGUAAGGAAGCACCGGCUAACUACGUG
rnacentral:rRNA from 1 species